CCCAGAAAUCAAACCAGCUUGGACCUG
rnacentral:sRNA from 1 species